GAAGGUAUAGCUCAGUGGUAGAGCGCACGCUUAGCAGGCAUGAGGUCUUCGGUUCAAUCCCCAAUACCUCCA
rnacentral:tRNA from 1 species